ACGAGAGAGAGAGAGAGAUAGAGCUCGAUGCUCUGACCCGAGACGCAGCACGGCACGAGAGAGAAACCUGACCGGAGGGACGACGUCCAGCCACCCCACGACGGUAAACAGCUACCUUUUCCCUUCGUCUCUGCGUCGCUUACCUCCCUGCAUCCUCAGAUUGUCCAUGCAUCGACGGUGAACGGAGAAACAACGAUUGGAAGCUCCGAGACUCCUCCGGCGAUUUCCGGCGAUUCCGGCCACCAUCUGGGCUGUAAUUGACUGAAGCUAAUUUUCAGAAACUACUAGCUGGUCUGUUGGUCCCAGUUCGUCAUCAUCUUUGGACAACUGAGCUUGCUCGGAGUAGUUUUUGAAGGACUCCAGUCACCCGAGGAACGGAAGGUUCGCGACUCUCGGAAUACGUGAAAGAAAGCAUUGGAAUCCAGGUAGGGAUUCAGGACUCUCCUCGGUUAGUUGUUUUCUUAUAUAUUGUGUUAAAAUGAGGCAUGGUUGGUGGUAUGGUUUGGUUAUGUUAAAAUGCAAUGCAUACUAACCAAAUUGUGAGAAAUGUGAUGGCUUGAGAGCGAAAGGGGCAUUGACUUCCUUGGGUUCGAUUCCCUAAACCUCUAGAGGGUUAGCUAUGCCGGUCAUCCGAGUAUCCGCAAUCACGGACUCGAUACGUGUGUGUAGCUAGGUAGUGGACGCUCUCACUACGCUUACCUGGUUAUAACUUAAUUUGAGGUAAGGUCGUGUAGUGGGUCUAUGGGACCGGCCAUCAGUAUGGAUGCAGGUACUGUGCACUGGUGAUGAGACAAUAGCGGACGGAGCUGGGUGUGCAGAACAAGUUCGGUAAAUUACCAUGUGAACCUUAUUCUAAAUUCUAUUUCUCGAACUUUGUGUUCUGGAACUUGUUGUUAGCUAGUCUCGUGUCAUCAUUUAGUUGAAUUCUCUUCAAGUGAAAUUCAAACCUUGUGUGAACCUUUAUCCAAGUUCUGGACGAAUGAAAUAGAUUUCAGCAACUCAAGUUUUACACCUCAAAAAUAUUUGUAGCUUCCGCUGUGUUUGUACAAAAAGUUUUUCAAACAAAAUGCCUAGCGGUUCUCUAGAAUGUAAAUCGAGCGUUCGGUUUAUGUUUUAGAGACUCGCGGCACUGUAACGAGCUUAGGCUGGUGAGGUGCAGCUUGGGGCGUUACAAUAUGUCUCCUCAUAGUUGAUUCCAGGGCGUUUUGUGAGAAGCCUUGCGCCAUAAGGCUAGAUUAUCAUCUC